GCGCCCGCACCCAAUCACCCGCGUCUUGCCCCACUCCCACCCCAGCCGCCAAACGAACCCUAGCCCUCUUUCCCUUUCCCCUCGAUCCCCACGAGCCGCCGCACCCCUCCCUCGAUCCCCACCAUCCUCUCCUCGCCAGCAGCCGCCGGCCGACCUCGUCUCUCCACUCGCCUCCUCCUCUCCUCUAUCAUGUCACCGUCGAUCCCACCGCCAGCCUUCUCCUCUGCUCGCCUCCUCCUGUCCUCUUCCAUGUCACCGUCGAUCCACAUCGGACGUAGGUCGUCUUCGCGGUGCGGGUGGGGAUGUAGGGGAGGUGUAGGAUGCGGACGACAAGGGAAGGAGGAGGCCGGCGAGGAAGGCAAGCAACAGCGGGGAAGGAGAAGGUGAGCGAUCCUAGCAUGGGGAAGGGGCAGGGUGAGGCCUCGCGCACCUGCCGGCGGCCGGCAGGUCGACUUGUUGCGCCACCGCGUCGUCAUCUCCUCUGCACCAUGAGAGGCGCCACCUCUGCCUCCACCCCCCCCCCCCCCCCCCCCACUGGGCAAGGAGCUCGAGGUGAACAGGCGGUGUGGGAAGGCGAGAGGAACUAGGAGCUCAUCUCUCCUCCCAUGGCUGCCUCGUGGAUCUGGAGGUGCAGGCGGCUCGAGCGAUGCAAGCCGGCGGCGAACUAGAUCAUGCUAUGUUUUAGCGCUCAUGGAGUUCCUCUGGCAUACGUUGAGUCUGGUGAUCCUUACAAAACAUAUAUGGAAGGCUAUGGAUCUUAUCAUGGAUGAGCUCGAAAAUAUAGGAAUUUCAAAUCCAUGUAUACAUCACACUCAUACCCGAAACUGAACAGGGACAAGCACAUGCAAUUAUAUGCUGUGGUAGAUUUCAAAAGAGACCCAUGGCCUAGAGUAGUUUUGCGCAAAUGAAGGAUACCAGGCUGACCCAUAGAGCAUGAGACCCUCUUUGUCAGGGGCCACCUUACUUGUAUGGCCUCAGGCUGAGGGGACCCUUCUAAUUAAGAUCCUAUGCGCCUGCCUCCUUCCUCCAGCUGCGUGAAGGCUAACGUGAGGAGCUGGCGAGCUAAAGAAGGAGCUGGAGCAGGACUGUAGGAGGGAGGUACACUAGGGGCCGGAGCAGGACAACCAUUGUUUCAGAUCCACUUGACUCAUCCCAAGUGGUUGCAAUAAAGCGCAGCAUGUCAAAUUGAUCGGUGUCCAUCUCCCUCAAUUUCUGCAUAUUUAUAUUUGGGAAGUGAACCAGGCUACUCAUCGAUUAAUAAAAGCUUUAUAGUUCUGUUCUCCUUCCAUUAUUUCUUCAUUAUUAUUCAUUUAUUCUCUUAGAUUAAAGGUAUUAUUGUGAUGAUGUCCUGUUGUUCUGUAAUGUAUUUUUGAUUUUUUUUCUGUGAUUGUACUCAAUGGUGCUUGCAGGUCCAUGGACAUUGUCAUAAUGGUCACCUUAUCGCAGUGUGUUAUUUUUGGAUCUCAUAUUCCUCAAGGCGCUCCAUUCUCUGAUUCGAUGUCUGACGAUCUGAGAAAUAAGAGGAGGAAUAAUCCAGCAGAAGAAUUUGGUGAAGAAGAACAAGAAAAGAAUACCUUUAUCCUGAUAGGCAUGGAAACACCGGUUCGCAUUGAGUGCAUCAUCGCUAAUCAGCUACUAUUAGAGAGCAAGGGACAUAUAAGAAAUCUCCAGGUAGCUUCACUUAGAUGCAUCAUCUUCUGCUAGGAGUCAGCUUGAAGAACGGCCUUCUCAGGAGACUGCAACUGACAUGCUGGAUGGGGAAUAACCAAAUUUGUGGACAAAGACACAGUUCAUCGCAAGGGGUGGUGUUUAGGAUAUGUACACAAAAGAGGAAACUUUUUUUGUACAGAACCAAAUUAUACGAUGUAUUUGACCACUAUUUCUAAGAAAUGUUCAUCAUGUAUUAAGUACAUUUUAUUGUGUCACUUUUUUUUGAGGGGUAGCUUUAUUCAUCAAACAUUACAAAGUGUGCGAUAGAGUUCAUCAAACCAGGCUUUAUUGUGUCACCUA